UACAGAGGUCCCAAGCGUUGUUCGGAUUCAUUGGGCGUAAAGGGUGCGUAGGCGGCGCGGUAAGUCGGGUGUGAAAUCUCGGAGCUUAACUCCGAAACUGCAUUCGAUACUGCCGUGCUUGAGGACUGGAGAGGAGACUGGAAUUUACGGUGUAGCGGUGGAAUGCGUAGAUAUCGGGAGGAACACCAGUGGCGCAGGCGGCGUCCUGGACCGGCACUGACGCUGAGGAGCGAAAGCGUGGGGAGCGAUCCGG
rnacentral:rRNA from 1 species